UUUUAAAAAUUGCCUUGCAGUGCUUUAUUAAGCUUAAAAGGGAAUGCCGUGAAAAUCGGCAGCACUCCCGGUGCUGUGAUGGGGGACGAAAGGUGCUAUUCCCCGCCCUUUCUAAGCAUUAGGUUCAAAAGUAACUGAUGUGAUUUUUUUGGGAGUCUUUAAAAAUUGAGAAAUAAAAUAAGAGUUGGAUAGAAAGGGCGGGGUGAAGUGCCACUGUCCCGCUUUUUCUAUAGAAAAGGCGGGGUGGGAAGGCGCAUCCAGUAGAGUGAUCCCGGAGCCAGAAGACCUGCUGCAGGGAAAUUUUUCUG
rnacentral:ncRNA from 2 species